rnacentral:rRNA from 1 species
UACGUAGGGACCAAGCGUUGUUCGGAUUUACUGGGCGUAAAGGGCGCGUAGGCGGCUUAACAAGUCACUUGUGAAAUCUCCGGGCUUAACUCGGAACGGCCAAGUGAAACUGUCAAGCUAGAGUGCAGAAGGGGCAAUCGGGAAUUCUUGGUGUAGCGGUGGAAAUGCGUAGAUAUCAAGAGGAACACCUGAGGUGAAGACGGGUUGCUGGGCUGACACUGACGCUGAGGCGCGAAAGCCAGGGGAGCAAACGGG